UACGUAGGGGGCAAGCGUUGUCCGGAUUUAUUGGGCGUAAAGCGCGUGUAGGCGGCUGGGUAGGUCCGCUGUGAAAACUCGAGGCUCAACCUCGAGACGUCGGCGGAAACCAUCCAGCUAGAGUCCGGAAGAGGAGAGUGGAAUUCCUGGUGUAGCGGUGAAAUGCGCAGAUAUCGGGAAGAAUACCCGUGGCGAAGGCGGUUCUCUGGGACGGUACUGACGCUGAGACGCGAAAGCGUGGGGAGCGAACAGG
rnacentral:rRNA from 1 species